GAUGAACGCUGGCGGCGUGCCUAAUACAUGCAAGUCGAGCGAACAGAUGAGGAGCUUGCUCCUCUGACGUUAGCGGCGGACGGGUGAGUAACACGUGGAUAACCUACCUAUAAGACUGGGAUAACUUCGGGAAACCGGAGCUAAUACCGGAUAAUAUAUUGAACCGCAUGGUUCAAUAGUGAAAGACGGUUUUGCUGUCACUUAUAGAUGGAUCCGCGCCGCAUUAGCUAGUUGGUAAGGUAACGGCUUACCAAGGCAACGAUGCGUAGCCGAACUGAGAGGGUGAUCGGCCACACUGGAACUGAGACACGGUCCAGACUCCUACGGGAGGCAGCAGUAGGGAAUCUUCCGCAAUGGGCGAAAGCCUGACGGAGCAACGCCGCGUGAGUGAUGAAGGUCUUCGGAUCGUAAAACUCUCUUAUUAGGGAAGAACAAAUGUGUAAGUAAAUAUGCACGUAUUGACGGUACCUAAUCAGAAAGCAACGGCUAACUACGUG
rnacentral:rRNA from 1 species